AACGAACGCUGGCGGCAGGCCUAACACAUGCAAGUCGAGCGGGGUUUUCGGACCUAGCGGCGGACGGGUGAGUAAUGCGUAGGAAGCUACCCGAUAGAGGGGGAUACCAGUUGGAAACGACUGUUAAUACCGCAUAAUGUCUACGGACCAAAGUGUGGGACCUUCGGGCCACAUGCUAUCGGAUGCGCCUACGUGGGAUUAGCUAGUUGGUGAGGUAAUGGCUCACCAAGGCGACGAUCCGUAACUGGUCUGAGAGGAUGAUCAGUCACACUGGAACUGAGACACGGUCCAGACUCCUACGGGAGGCAGCAGUGGGGAAUAUUGGACAAUGGGCGAAAGCCUGAUCCAGCCAUGCCGCGUGUGUGAAGAAGGUCUUCGGAUUGUAAAGCACUUUAAGUUGGAGGAAGGUAGUAACCUAANACGUUGCUACUUUUGACGUUUACCGACAGAAUAAGCACCGGCUAACUUCGUGCCAGCAGCCGCGGUAAAGUGACUACUG
rnacentral:rRNA from 1 species